rnacentral:rRNA from 1 species
UACGGAGGGUGCAAGCGUUGUCCGGAAUCACUGGGCGUAAAGGGCGCGUAGGCGGCCACCGCAAGUCAGUUGUGAAAUCUCUGGGCUUAACCCAGAACGGUCAGCUGAUACUGCGGGGCUAGAGUGCAGAAGGGGCAACUGGAAUUCUCGGUGUAGCGGUGAAAUGCGUAGAUAUCGAGAGGACCACCUGCGGCGAAGGCGGGUUGCUGGGCUGACACUGACGCUGACAGCGCGAAAGCUAGGGGAGCGAACGGG